UACGGAGGGGGCUAGCGUUGUUCGGAAUUACUGGGCGUAAAGCGCACGUAGGCGGCUUUGCAAGUUAGAGGUGAAAGCCCGGGGCUCAACUCCGGAAUUGCCUUUAAAACUGCAUCGCUAGAAUUGUGGAGAGGUAAGUGGAAUUCCGAGUGUAGAGGUGAAAUUCGUAGAUAUUCGGAAGAACACCAGUGGCGAAGGCGGCGACCUGGACGGACACUGACGCUGAGACGCGAAAGCGUGGGGAGCAAAACAGGAUUGAGAUACCCGUUG
rnacentral:rRNA from 1 species